GAUGAACGCUGGCGGCGUGCCUAAUACAUGCAAGUCGAGCGAACAGACGAGGAGCUUGCUCCUCUGACGUUAGCGGCGGACGGGUGAGUAACACGUGGAUAACCCACCUAUAAUACUGGGAUAACUUCGGGAAACCGGAGCUAAUACCGGAUAAUAUAUUGAACCGCAUGGUUCAAUAGUGAAAGACGGUUUUGCUGUCACUUAUAGAUGGAUCCGAGCCGCAUUAGCUAGUUGGUACGGUAACGGCUUACCAAGGCGACGAUGCGUAGCCGACCUGAGAGGGUGGUCGGCCACACUGGAAGUGAGACACGGUCCAGACUCCUACGGGAGGCAGCAGUAGGGAAUCUGCCGCAAUGGGCGAAAGCCUGACGGAGCAACGCCGCGUGAGUGAUGAAGGUCUUCGGAUCGUAAAACUCUGUUAUUAGGGAAGAACAAAUGUGUAAGUAACUAUGCACGUCUUGACGGUACCUAAUCAGAAAGCCACGGCUAACUACGUG
rnacentral:rRNA from 1 species